UGGGGAAUAUUGCGCAAUGGGCGGAAGCCUGACGCAGCGACGCCGCGUGGGGGAUGAAGGCCUUCGGGUUGUAAACCUCUUUCAGCAGGGAAGAAGCGUGAGUGACGGUACCUGCAGAAGAAGCACCGGCUAACUACGUGCCAGCAGCCGCGGUAAUACGUAGGGUGCAAGCGUUGUCCGGAAUUAUUGGGCGUAAAGAGCUCGUAGGCGGUCUGUCGCGUCUGCUGUGAAAACUCGGGGCUUAACCCCGGGCCUGCAGUGGGUACGGGCAGACUAGAGUGCGGUAGGGGAGACUGGAAUUCCUGGUGUAGCGGUGAAAUGCGCAGAUAUCAGGAGGAACACCGGUGGCGAAGGCGGGUCUCUGGGCCGUAACUGACGCUGAGGAGCGAAAGCGUGGGGAGCGAACA
rnacentral:rRNA from 1 species